rnacentral:tmRNA from 1 species
UCCCUUGCAAAGCACCGCGCCAAGGCCUAAAUCUUAACCGUCCUUCGGGACUAUGGACAUAAAUGCGCUCGCAAUAAGCGGAUCGGACCCGGGGGCGGUACCCGGCGUCUCCACCAAACACUCUGGCGGCUUCCUUCAUUUGGGGUUGUUCAUCAGAAGAGCGGGGACGAAAUAGGAUCGACGAACGUCUAAAGGGGUUAGCUUUGUCUCGGCUGUCUGCCACCGUUACCGGCGAAAACUGUACAAUUGCAAAUGACAAUCGUGCUCCAGUAGCAAUGGCUGCGUAAGCAGUCGGAGAUACUGAAACUUAAGUCCCUGGGCUAGCUGCCCUUGGCGGGGUUCGUAGGUACCUGGCAACAGAAACCUACAUU